UACGUAGGGGGCAAGCGUUGUCCGGAAUCAUUGGGCGUAAAGAGCGCGUAGGCGGCCCAGUAAGUCCGCUCUGAAAGUCAGGGGCUCAACCCCUGGAUGCGGGUGGAUACUGCUGGGCUAGAGUCCGGAAGAGGUGAGUGGAAUUCCUGGUGUAGCGGUGGAAUGCGCAGAUAUCAGGAGGAACACCGGUGGCGAAGGCGGGUCUCUGGGCAGUAACUGACGCUGAGGAGCGAAAGCGUGGGGAGCGAACAGG
rnacentral:rRNA from 1 species